rnacentral:rRNA from 1 species
UAGGGAAUAUUGGUCAAUGGGCGCAAGCCUGAACCAGCCAUGCCGCGUGCAGGAUGACGGCCCUAUGGGUUGUAAACUGCUUUUGUACGGGAAGAAUAAGCUCUACGUGUAGAGUGAUGACGGUACCGUAAGAAUAAGGAUCGGCUAACUCCGUGCCAGCAGCCGCGGUAAUACGGAGGAUCCAAGCGUUGUCCGGAUUUAUUGGGUUUAAAGGGUGCGUAGGCGGUUUGAUAAGUCAGUGGUGAAAGUUUGCGGCUUAACCGUAAAAUUGCCAUUGAAACUGUCGAACUUGAGUAUGGUUGAGGUAGCUGGAAUGUGUCAUGUAGCGGUGAAAUGCUUAGAUAUGAUACAGAACACCAAUUGCGAAGGCAGGUUACUAAACCAUAACUGACGCUGAGGCACGAAAGCAUGGGGAUCAAACAGG